rnacentral:rRNA from 1 species
AGUGAACGCUGGCGGUAGGCCUAACACAUGCAAGUCGAACGGCAGCACAGUAAGAGCUUGCUCUUACGGGUGGCGAGUGGCGGACGGGUGAGGAAUACAUCGGAAUCUACUUUUUCGUGGGGGAUAACGUAGGGAAACUUACGCUAAUACCGCAUACGACCUACGGGUGAAAGCAGGGGAUCUUCGGACCUUGCGCGAUUGAAUGAGCCGAUGUCGGAUUAGCUAGUUGGCGAGGUAAAGGCCCACCAAGGCGACGAUCCGUAGCUGGUCUGAGAGGAUGAUCAGCCACACUGGAACUGAGACACGGUCCAGACUCCUACGGGAGGCAGCAGUAGGGAAUAUUGGACAAUGGGCGCAAGCCUGAUCCAGCCAUACCGCGUGGGUGAAGAAGGCCUUCGGGUUGUAAAGCCCUUUUGUUGGGAAAGAAAAGCAGCAGGUUAAUACCCCGCUGUUCUGACGGUACCCAAAGAGUAAGCACCGGCUAACUUCGUG